ACCUGUUGAAGGCAGCUUUCUAGCUCUUUGAGCUUCAUAUGUCCAUCAGAUGAUCAGCUCAUUCAGUCUGUUUCUGUUGGUCACACUAAUGUUAGUAGAUGAGAAACGUCGACUGAUCAUGAUGUCACGAGCGAUCUUCAGACUUCUGCUGAUCUCGUCAGCUGAGAGUAUUAGCGCUAUCUGCUGUCUGAUUACUGCCAGGGCGCACAGUCAGCAUUAUGGUUCCCAAAGGCAUGGGCCGUCACUGAAAGGGUGAAAGGUGGUGAUGAUUAUAGGUGCCCAGGCCCCCCCUGCGACCUCCACCAACUGGCUGAGGCAAGCCUAAAAAGACACACAGGGGCAGGGGCGUGUCUAGGGGGAGGCUGGGGGAGGCAGUGCCUCCCCUAGGAUAAGCCCUGCCUCCCCGAGAAACGGACUGUCCCUCUGAUGAUAAAUAAACAUUUAAAAGUUGA